CCUACGGGUGGCAGCAGUGAGGAAUAUUGGUCAAUGGACGAGAGUCUGAACCAGCCAAGUAGCGUGAAGGAUGACUGCCCUAUGGGUUGUAAACUUCUUUUAUAUGGGAAUAAAAUGUUCCACGUGUGUGAUUUUGUAUGUACCAUAUGAAUAAGGAUCGGAUAACUCCGUGCCAGCAGCCGCGGUAAUACGGAGGAUCCGAGCGUUAUCCGGAUUUAUUGGGUUUAAAGGGAGCGUAGGUGGAUUGUUAAGUCAGUUGUGAAAGUUUGCGGCUCAACCGUAAAAUUGCAGUUGAAACUGGCAGUCUUGAGUACAGUAGAGGUGGGCGGAAUGCGUGGUGUAGCGGUGAAAUGCUUAGAUAUCACGAAGAACUCCGAUUGCGAAGGCAGUUCACUGGACUGCAACUGACACUGAGGCUCGAAAGUGUGGGUAUCAAACAGGAUUAGAUACCCGAGUAGUC
rnacentral:rRNA from 1 species